GUAGGUGGCAAGCGUUGUCCGGAAUUAUUGGGCGUAAAUCGCGCGCAGGCGGUUUUUUAAGUCUGAUGUGAAAGCCCACGGGCUCAACCGUGGAGGGUCAUUGGAAACUGGAGAACUUGAGUACAGAAGAGGAAAGCGGAAUUCCACGUGUAGCGGUGAAAUGCGUAGAGAUGUGGAGGAACACCAGUGGCGAAGGCGGCUUUCUGGUCUGUAACUGACGCUGAGGCGCGAAAGCGUGGGGAGCAAACAGGAUUAGAUACCCUGGUAGUCCACGCCGUAAACGAUGAGUGCUAAGUGUUAGGGGGUUUCCGCCCCUUAGUGCUGCAGCUAACGCAUUAAGCACUCCGCCUGGGGAGUACGGCCGCAAAGGCUG
rnacentral:rRNA from 1 species